rnacentral:rRNA from 1 species
UACGGGGGGAGCAAGCGUUGUUCGGAUUUACUGGGCGUAAAGGGCGCGUAGGCGGUCAGCACAAGUCAGUUGUGAAAUCUCCGGGCUUAACUCGGAAAGGUUAACUGAUACUGUGCGACUAGAGUGCGGAAGGGGCAACUGGAAUUCUCGGUGUAGCGGUGAAAUGCGUAGAUAUCGAGAGGAACACCUGCGGCGAAGGCGGGUUGCUGGGCCGACACUGACGCUGAUGCGCGAGAGCCAGGGGAGCGAACGGG